UACGUAGGGUGCGAGCGUUAAUCGGAAUUACUGGGCGUAAAGAGUGCGUAGGCGGUUCGUUAUGUCUGCUGUGAAAGCCCUGGGCUUAACCCGGGAACUGCAGUGGAAACUGGCGAGCUUGAGUAUGGCAGAGGGGGGUGGAAUUCCGCGUGUAGCAGUGAAAUGCGUAGAGAUGCGGAGGAACACCGAUGGCGAAGGCAGCCCCCUGGGCUACUACUGACGCUGAGGCACGAAAGCGUGGGGAGCAAACAGG
rnacentral:rRNA from 1 species